GGCGUGCCUAAUACAUGCAAGUCGAGCGAACUGAUUAGAAGCUUGCUUCUAUGACGUUAGCGGCGGACGGGUGAGUAACACGUGGGCAACCUGCCUGUAAGACUGGGAUAACUUCGGGAAACCGAAGCUAAUACCGGAUAGGAUCUUCUCCUUCAUGGGAGAUGAUUGAAAGAUGGUUUCGGCUAUCACUUACAGAUGGGCCCGCGGUGCAUUAGCUAGUUGGUGAGGUAACGGCUCACCAAGGCAACGAUGCAUAGCCGACCUGAGAGGGUGAUCGGCCACACUGGGACUGAGACACGGCCCAGACUCCUACGGGAGGCAGCAGUAGGGAAUCUUCCGCAAUGGACGAAAGUCUGACGGAGCAACGCCGCGUGAGUGAUGAAGGCUUUCGGGUCGUAAAACUCUGUUGUUAGGGAAGAACAAGUACGAGAGUAACUGCUCGUACCUUGACGGUACCUAACCAGAAAGCCACGGCUAACUACGUGCCAGCAGCCGCGGUAAUACGUAGGUGGCAAGCGUUAUCCGGAAUUAUUGGGCGUAAAGCGCGCGCAGGCGGUUUCUUAAGUCUGAUGUGAAAGCCCACGGCUCAACCGUGGAGGGUCAUUGGAAACUGGGGAACUUGAGUGCAGAAGAGAAAAGCGGAAUUCCACGUGUAGCGGUGAAAUGCGUAGAGAUGUGGAGGAACACCAGUGGCGAAGG
rnacentral:rRNA from 1 species